rnacentral:rRNA from 1 species
AAGUCGUACAAGGUUUCCGUAGGUGAACCUGCGGAAGGAUCAUUAUCGUACAAAAUGUGUGAGGCAUGCAAGGGCUGUCGCUGACUUUUUAAUCACAAAAAGUCGUGCACGCCGGAGCGUGUCCUCUCGCAUAAAAUCCAUCUCACCCUUUUGUGCACCACCGCGUGGGCACCCUUUGGGAUCGAACCGAUCCAGGAGGGCGCUUGCGUUUUCACACAAACCCCCUUAUAAAAGUGUAGAAUGACCCCAUUUUUGCGAUAACACGCAAUCAAUACAACUUUCAACAACGGAUCUCUUGGCUCUCGCAUCGAUGAAGAACGCAGCGAAAUGCGAUACGUAAUGUGAAUUGCAGAAUUCAGUGAAUCAUCGAAUCUUUGAACGCACCUUGCGCCCCUUGGUAUUCCGAGGGGCACACCCGUUUGAGUGUCGUGAAAAUCUCAACCUCCUCGGUUUCUUCUGGACGCCGAAGGAGGCUUGGACUUUGGAGGCCUUUGCUGGCGUCUCUCGCCAGCUCCUCUCAAAUGAAUUAGCGGGGUCCUCUUUGCCGAUCCUCGACGUGUGAUAAGAUGUUUCCAUGUCUUGGUUUCUGGCUCUGUCGCCUUUGGGACCCGCUUCUAACCGUCUCAAGUCGAGACAACGUUUGAGCGUGUCUCCCUUCUCGGGAAACACCCUCGAGCCCACGAACCCUUGACCUCAAAUCGGGUGAGACUACCCGCUGAACUUAA